rnacentral:rRNA from 1 species
UACGUAGGGUGCAAGCGUUGUCCGGAAUUAUUGGGCGUAAAGAGCUCGUAGGCGGUCUGUCGCGUCUGCUGUGAAAUCUCAGGGCUUAACCCUGAGCUUGCAGUGGGUACGGGCAGACUAGAGUGCGGUAGGGGAGACUGGAAUUCCUGGUGUAGCGGUGAAAUGCGCAGAUGUCAGGAGGAACACCGGUGGCGAAGGCGGGUCUCUGGGCCGUAACUGACGCUGAGGAGCGAAAGCAUGGGGAGCGAACAGG